GGCACAGUUCGGUCACAGUUCGCACGUAAGAAAUUGAAUUAUAAGGUUAUGGAAUCCCCCUCCUAAGGGGAAGGUCGCCCGUUCGAAUCGGGCCGGGGUCACCA
rnacentral:tRNA from 1 species